CACACUGGGCCUGAGACACGGCCCAUAAAAAAAUGGGAGGCAGCAGUGGGGAAUAUUGCACAAUGGGCGUAAAGCCUGAUGCAGCGACGCCGCGUGAGGGAUGACGGCCUUCGGGUUGUAAACCUCUUUCAGCAGGGAAGAAGCGAAAGUGACGGUACCUGCAGAAGAAGCGCCGGCUAACUACGUGCCAGCAGCCGCGGUAAUACGUAGGGCGCAAGCGUUGUCCGGAAUUAUUGGGCGUAAAGAGCUCGUAGGCGGCUUGUCACGUCGGGUGUGAAAGCCCGGGGCUUAACCCCGGGUCUGCAUUCGAUACGGGCUAGCUAGAGUGUGGUAGGGGAGAUCGGAAUUCCUGGUUGUAGCGGUGAAAUGCGCAGAUAUCAGGGAGGAACACCGGUGGCGAAGGCGGAUCUCUGGGCCAUUUACUGACGGCUGAGGAGCGAAAGCGUGGGGAGCGAACAGGAUUAGAUACCCUGGUAGUCCACGCCGUAAACGGUGGGAACCUAGGUGUUGGCGACAUUCCACGUCGUCGGUGCCGCAGCUAACGCAUUAAGUUUCCCCGCCUGGGGAGUACGGCCGCAAGGCUAAAACUCAAAGGAAUUGACGGGGGGCCCGCACAAGCAGCGGGAGCAUGUGGCUUAAUUCGACGCAACGCGAAGAACCUUACCAAGGCUUGACAUACACCGGAAACGGCCAGAGAUGGUCGCCCCCUUGUGGUCGGUGUACAGGUGGUGCAUGGCUGUCGUCAGCUCGUGUCGUGAGAUGUUGGGUUAAGUCCCGCAACGAGCGCAACCCUUGUUCUGUGUUGCCAGCAUGCCCUUCGGGGUGAUGGGGACUCACAGGGUACUGCCGGGGUCAACUCGGAGGAAGGUGGGGACGACGUCAAGUCAUCAUGCCCCUUAUGUCUUGGGCUGCACACGUGCUACAAUGGCAGGUACAAUGAGCUGCGAAGCCGUGAGGCGGAGCGAAUCUCAAAAAGCCUGUCUCAGUUCGGAUUGGGGUCUGCAACUCGACCCCAGGAAGUCGGAGUUGCUAGUAAUCGCAGAUCAGCAUUGUUUCGUGAAUACGUUCCCGGGCCUUGACAUGCCGCCCGUCUACGUCACGAAAGUCGU
rnacentral:rRNA from 1 species